rnacentral:rRNA from 1 species
AUUGAACGCUGGCGGCAGGCCUAACACAUGCAAGUCGAGCGGAUGAAGGGAGCUUGCUCCUGGAUUCAGCGGCGGACGGGUGAGUAAUGCCUAGGAAUCUGCCUGGUAGUGGGGGAUAACGUCCGGAAACGGGCGCUAAUACCGCAUACGUCCUGAGGGAGAAAGUGGGGGAUCUUCGGACCUCACGCUAUCAGAUGAGCCUAGGUCGGAUUAGCUAGUUGGUGGGGUAAAGGCCUACCAAGGCAACGAUCCGUAACUGGGCUGAGAGGAUGAUCGGUCACACUGGAACUAAAACACGGUCCUGACUCCUACGGGAGGCAGCAGUGGGCAAUAUUGGACAAUGGGGGAAAACCUGGUCCAGCCAUGCCGCGUGUGUGAAAAAGAUCUUCGGAUUGUAAAGCACUUUAAGUUGGGAGGAAGGGCAGUAAGUUAAUACCUUGCUGUUUUGACGUUACCAACAGAAUAAGCACCGGCUAACUUCGUG